CCCCACCUCCCUCUGGAGAACUUUCUGCAGCUCAGCCCUCACCAGGUAUGAGAAUCAUCUUCUUUAUUUGACUGGCCCAUCUGCUAGUGGGGACGAGAGUCAAUGGCGUGUCUCUCAGUGGCCCCUCCCUGCAAGAACCCCACAGUGACCCCAGUGCGAGCUAACCUUCCCCAUCUCAGAUCCAGGCCCUGGAGGAUAGCUGGCCAGCAGCAGGUCUGGGGCCAGGGCAUGCCCGCCAUGUGCUGCGCAGCCUGGUAAACCAGAGUGUCCAGGAUGGUGAGGAGCAGGUAUGCAGGUGGCAUAUGAACUUCUGGGGAUAUUGCGCUCAUCUGGAGGAGCGGUGCUGAGCCCCGGGAGCUGCGGGUCUGGGCCCCUCUCUUCCCUCAGCUGGGCCUCCGCUUCCUGCAGGAGCUGUCAGAGCCCCAGCUUAGAGCCAUGCUUCCUGUCCUGCAGGGAGCUAGUGUUACACCUGCUCAGGCUGUCCUGCUGCUUGGACGGCUCCUUCCUAGGCAUGAUCUAUGCCUGGAGGAACUCUGCUCCUUGCAUCUUCUGCUGCCUGGCCUCAGCCCCAGACACUCCAGGCCAUCCCUAGGCGAGUCCUGGUUGGGGCUUGUUCCUGCCUGGCCCCUGAACUGUCACGCCUCUCAGCCUGCCAGACCGCAGCACUACUGCAGACCUUUCGGGUAUGAGAGUAGCAAGGAGGAUGAGACAAUCAGGGAUACGGGCUCUCUCUGGUUGGGAGGAAGGCAUCUCCCCUGAGGCCACGGAAGGCCUUUCAUACCUCCCCACUUAAACACACACACACACACACACACACACACACACACACAACCAAUUCUCAUGCAGGUUAAAGAUG
rnacentral:lncRNA from 1 species